GGAGAGAAAAGCUCAGGGGUAGAGUGCGUGCUUAGCAGGCAUGAGGACCUGGGUUCCAUCCCCAGUACCUCCG
rnacentral:tRNA from 1 species